rnacentral:rRNA from 1 species
GCGGUAUGCCUAACACAUGCAAGUCGAUCGAGCUUAUUUAUAGCUAGUGGCGGGACGGGUGAGUAACGCGUAGAAUCUGCCAAUUGGAUGGGGAUAACAGGGAGAAAUCGCUGCUAAAACCCAAUGUGCCUAUGGGUGAAAUAUUUAUAGCCCAUUGAGGAGCUCGCGUCCGAUUAGUUAGUUGGUGGGGUAAGAGCCUACCAAGGCAGCGAUCGGUAGCUGGUCUGAGAGGAUGAGCAGCCACACUGGGACUGAGACACGGCCCAGACUCCUACGGGAGGCAGCAGUGGGGAAUUUUCCGCAAUGGGCGAAAGCCUGACGGAGCAAUACCGCGUGAGGGAGGAAGGCUUUUGGGUUGUAAACCUCUUUUGUUAAGGAAGAAGCAAGUGACGGUACUUAACGAAUCAGCAUCGGCUAACUCCGUGCCAGCAGCCGCGGUAAUACGGAGGAUGCAAGCGUUAUCCGGAAUCAUUGGGCGUAAAGCGUCCGCAGGUGGUUAUUCAAGUCUGCUGUUAAAGACAGAAGCUCAACUUCUGGUCGGCGGUGGAAACUGGGUAACUAGAGUACGGUAGGGGUUGAGGGAAUUCCCAGUGUAGCGGUGAAAUGCGUAGAGAUUGGGAAGAACCCCAGUGGCGAAGGCGCUCAUCUGGGCCGUAACUGACACUCAGGGUCGAAAGCUAGGGUAGCCAAAGGGAUUAGAUACCCCUGUAGUCCUAGCUGUAAACGA